UACGGGGGGGGGGCAAGCGUUGUUCGGAAUUACUGGGCGUAAAGGGCUCGUAGGUGGCCAACUAAGUCAGACGUGAAAUCCCUCGGCUUAACCGGGGAACUGCGUCUGAUACUGGAUGGCUUGAGUUUGGGAGAGGGACGCGGAAUUCCAGGUGUAGCGGUGAAAUGCGUAGAUAUCUGGAGGAACACCGGUGGCGAAGGGCGGCGUCCUGGACCAACACCUGACACUGAUGAGCGAAAGCCAGGGGAGCAAAGCGGG
rnacentral:rRNA from 1 species